AUUGAACGCUGGCGGCAGGCCUAACACAUGCAAGUCGAACGAGGGGCGGACGGGUUAGUAAUGUCUUGGAAACUGCCUGAUGGAGGGGGAGAACUACUGGAAAAGGUAGCUAAUACCGCAUACCAUCAGAUGUGCCCAGAUGGGAUUAGCUUGUUGGUGGGGUAACGGCUCACCAAGGCGACGAUCCCUAGCUGGUCUGAGAGGAUGACCAGCCACACUGGAACUGAGACACGGUCCAGAGUCCUACGGGAGGCAGCAGUGGGGCAUAGUGCACAAUGGGCGCAAGCCUGAUGCAGCCAUGCCGCGAGUAUGAAGAAGGCCUUCGGGUUGUAAAGUAAUUUCAGCGGGGAGGCGUUACCCGCAGAAGAAGCACCGGCUAACUCCGUGCCAGCAGCCGCGGUAAUAC
rnacentral:rRNA from 1 species